rnacentral:RNase_P_RNA from 1 species
GAAGCUGACCAGACAGUCGCCGCUUCGUCGUCGUCCUUUCGGGGAGACGGGCGGAGGGGAGGAAAGUCCGGGCUCCAUAGGGCAGGGUGCCAGGUAACGCCUGGGGGGGAAACCCACGACCAGUGCAACAGAGAGCAGACCGCCGAUGGCCCACGUAAGUGGGAUCAGGUAAGGGUGAAAGGGUGCGGUAAGAGCGCACCGCGCGGCUGGUAACAGUCCGUGGCAUGGUAAACUCCACCCGGAGCAAGGCCAAAUAGGGGUUCAUAAGGUACGGCCCGUACUGAACCCGGGUAGGCUGCUUGAGCCAGUGAGCGAUUGCUGGCCUAGAUGAAUGACUGUCCACGACAGAACCCGGCUUAUCGGUCAGUUUCACCU